UACGUAGGGUGCAAGCGUUGUCCGGAAUUAUUGGGCGUAAAGAGCUCGUAGGCGGUCUGUCGCGUCUGCUGUGAAAACUCAGGGCUUAACCCUGAGCUUGCAGUGGGUACGGGCAGACUAGAGUGCGGUAGGGGAGACUGGAAUUCCUGGUGUAGCGGUGAAAUGCGCAGAUAUCAGGAGGAACACCGGUGGCGAAGGCGGGUCUCUGGGCCGUAACUGACGCUGAGUGCGCGAAAGCCAGGGGAGCAAACGGG
rnacentral:rRNA from 1 species